rnacentral:rRNA from 1 species
UUACAAUUAGCGGAGGARAAGAAACCACAGGGAUUGCCCCAGUAACGGCGAGUGAAGCGGCAGCAGCCAGAUUUGAAAUCCGGCUCGGCCCGAGUUGUAAUCUGCAGAGGAUGCUUCGGGGCGGGCGCCCUCCGAGUCCCCUGGAACGGGGCGCCGAGAGGGUGACAGCCCCGUACGGCCGGACGUGCCGCCCCGCGCGAAGCUCCCUCGAAGAGUCGAGUAGUUUGGGAAUGCUGCUCAAAGCGGGAGGUAAAUUCCUUCCAAGGCUAAAUACCGGCCGGAGACCGAUAGCGCACAAGUAGAGUGAUCGAAAGAUGAAAAGCACUUUGGAAAGAGGGUUAAACAGUACGUGAAAUUGCUGAAGGGAAGCGCCUGCGGCCAGACUCKCGCCCUGCGGAUCAUCGGGUGCCUCKCGGCGCCCGUGCACUCCGCCGGGACGCGGGCCAGCAUCGGUCGCGGCGGGGGACAAAAGCGGGGGGAACGUGGCCUCCCCCGGGAGGUGUUAUAGCCCCCCGCCCAAUGCCCCGCGGCGGGCCGAGGACCGCGCCGCUCCGGCGGCAAGGAUGCUGGCGUAAUGGCCGUCGKCGGCCCGUCUUGAAACACGGACCAAGGAGUYGAACGUSCGCGCGAGUGUUUGGGUGACAAAGCCCUCACGCGCAGUGAAAGCGAACGCWKGYGGGAGCCUCGKCGCACCACCGACCGAUCCUGAAGUUCACGGAUGGAUUUGAGUAGGAGCGUGGCCGUUCGGACCCGAAAGAUGGUGAACUAAKCCUGCGUAGGGCGAAGCCAGAGGAAACUCUGGUGGAGGCCCGCAGCGGUUCUGACGUGCAAAUCGAUCGUCAAACGUGGGCUUGGGGGCGAAAGACCAAUCGAAC